UGUAGAGGCAUACCAGGGGAACUGAAACAUCUAAGUACCCUGAGGAAGAGAAAACAAUAGUGAUUCCGUCAGUAGCGGCGAGCGAACGCGGAGAAGCCCAAACCAGAGAGCUUGCUCUUUGGGGUUGUGGGACAUCUCACAUGGAGUUACAAAGGAGCCGGUUAAACGAAGAGGUCUGGAAAGGCCCGCCAAAGAAGGUAAAAGCCCUGUAGUUGAAAGCCUGCUCUCUCCGAGAUGUAUCCCGAGUAGUGCGGGGCACGUGAAACCCCGUAUGAAUCCGGCAGGACCAUCUGCCAAGGCUAAAUACUUCCUAGCGACCGAUAGUGAAGCAGUACCGUGAGGGAAAGGUGAAAAGCACCCCGGAAGGGGAGUGAAAUAGAACCUGAAACCGUGUGCUUACAAAAAGUCAGAGCCCGUUUUAGGGGUGAUGGCGUGCCUUUUGUAGAAUGAACCGGCGAGUUACGUUCCCGUGCAAGGUUAAGGUGAAGAGCCGGAGCCGCAGCGAAAGCGAGUCUGAAUAGGGCGACAUAGUACGUGGACGUAGACCCGAAACCGGGUGAUCUACCCCUGUCCAGGGUGAAGGUGCGGUAACACGCACUGGAGGCCCGAACCCACGCACGUUGAAAAGUGCGGGGAUGAGGUGGGGGUAGCGGAGAAAUUCCAAUCGAACUCGGAGAUAGCUGGUUCUCCCCGAAAUAGCUUUAGGGCUAGCCUCGGAAAACAGAGUCGUGGAGGUAGAGCACUGAUUGGGUGCGGGGCCCGCAAGGGUUACCAAGCUCAGUCAAACUCCGAAUGCCAUAGACUUACUUCCGGGAGUCAGACAGUGAGUGCUAAGAUCCAUUGUCAAAAGGGAAACAGCCCAGACCAUCAGCUAAGGUCCCCAAGUGUGUGUUAAGUGGGAAAGGAUGUGGAGUUGCACAGACAACCAGGAUGUUGGCUUAGAAGCAGCCACCAUUGAAAGAGUGCGUAAUAGCUCACUGGUCGAGUGACUCUGCGCCGAAAAUGUAACGGGGCUAAACACACCACCGAAGCUAUGGCUUG
rnacentral:rRNA from 1 species